rnacentral:lncRNA from 1 species
GGAAAUGUUCUGAAUGUCACAUCAGUGGAGAUGUGAACCAGUGCCUGUGACCAACAUGACCGGGUCCAUCACCCCCAUCCUUCCUGCCCUUAAGCUUGUUCCCUCCUCCUUACCAACAGCAGGUCCACAAGCACGUUUACCUCGGGACCACAUCGCAAUCCACCACCUACGCGACUUCUCUCCUUCCUCCACACACCCAAGGAACCUUUGUUGUGCACAGGCUGCACACAAGAUAUCCAAGCCCACCGAAGCUUGUUUUUCACCUUCCUACUUCCCUCUCCCAAGUGCUGGGAACAUGGGCAUGACCUAUAAGGCACCUGGGUUAAACCUGUAAAAGAGCCUGAGGCACAAAUCUGGAACACACUAUCCUGAGUUUAAACCUGUCAACACACUCAUAAGUAUACUAAAGUGCACUGUCAAUAUGGCUGUGCGUCUAAAUAAAUUUAAGCCUGGUGUUUUUAAAAAG